UUAAGGCAGUUGGUGUCUUAUUAAUGAAAACUAGAGAAUUAAAGACUUUGGGACCAUAAAUGGAGAAGCUUACCGAAGAUAGGGCCUUUCAAGUGAAGGAGAGUAAGGAAAGUGGUUGGGGUAUUCCAAGAUGUGAAGAAUCCUGUCUUUUGUGUGGAAUUCAAGAUAUUGAUCAACUUUUCCCACAAGAAGAAGCAUUUGCCUCCAGGGUACCAUGGACGUGUGGCCAUAUAAAUCCAAAGGACAACUGAGGCCUAGUUAAAAGCCACUUUCCUGCACAUUCAGUCUUAGACUGCAUUGUUUGCUAACAAUAGGACUAAAACUGAUUUAUAUACUAAGGAAAAACUCUGCUAGAGAAAUUAAUCUUAGGUGUCAUAUCAA